ensembl:lncRNA novel transcript
AACAGUUCAUGAAAGUUUUUCACUGCAUUAUUGACUUAAGGAUUCAGCACCAUUUGGGAUUUCCUCUUGGCUAGAAGUUGGAUUUCUAUACAAUUUCCUUUUUCUGUGGGCAGUGUUCCCCAAACUUAGCUGGAUAAAGAUGUUAUUUGAGAAUACAGAUUCUGGAAUGCACUUCAGAUCUCCAGGUCAGAACCUUGGAAACUCGGUCUUCAAGGAUCUUUGUGAUUGCCCAAAUAUAGAAAAACAAUGCUGUAUUUUUUUUAUUCUUUGCCAGAAAUUAGGUAAUUUUUUAUUUCUUUUCUACGAAGACCAAAAAAUGAACAUGAAAGAUAGUUAGAAUAUAUUUGGCUUGACUACAGAGAUAGAAAUGAUGCUAAAUAAUUUAACAGGAAACUUAGGACCGUAAGAAUAAGCUACUAAAGAACAUUAUGUCAAGCACAAACAAGUGAGGAUACAAUGAGAAGAUGGCAGCCUGCGCCGUAGAAGAGGAUGCUCGCCACAACCCAACCACGCUGGCACCCUGAUCUUAAGCUCCCAGACUCCGUAACUCCUAUGGUCUGGAAAUGAUGCCCUUCACCACUAAAUCCUCCAAAUCACCAUGGAUCCAAAACCUGCUAGCUGGAUCCAAGUGUUGUGGAGGCUGAAGAUUAUAUAAUUUGGGAGUUUCUCAUUAAAAAAAAAAUGAGAACACAAAAUAAAGUGUAAAAAUAAAUACUUAAAAUGAUCAUUUUAUCUCAACAAAUACAUUUUGAAAUCUGAAAAAUGUCACAAAAGUUAAUAAAAAUAACAAUUUGCCAGA